GACGAACGCUGGCGGCGUGCUUAACACAUGCAAGUCGAACGGGUCUGCCCUGUUUUUUGCGGAGUGGGUCAGUGGCGAACGGGUGAGUAACACGUGAGUAACCUGCCCCUCACUUCUGGAUAACCGCUUGAAAGGGUGGCUAAUACGGGGUGUUCUGGCUGUGCCGCAUGGUGUGGCUGGGAAAGAUUCACUUUUGUGGUGUUUUGGUGGGGGAUGGGCUCGCGGCCUAUCAGCUUGUUGGUGGGGUGAUGGCCUGCCAAGGCUUUGACGGGUAGCCGGCCUGAGAGGGUGGGCGGUCACACUGGGACUGAGAUACGGCCCAGACUCCUGCGGGAGGCAGCAGUGGGGGGUAGUGCACAAUGGGCGGAAGCCUGAUGCAGCGACGUCGCGUGAGGGAUGGAGGCCUUCGGGUUGUGAACCUCUUUCGCCGGUGAAGAAGGUCCUGCUCUUUGUGGUGGGGUUGACGGUAGCCGGGUUAUGAAGCGCCGGCUAACUACGUG
rnacentral:rRNA from 1 species